UGGUGAAUGUUCUUCAACCCGUUUUGCCGACACUUUGCCCAUAG
rnacentral:sRNA from 1 species